rnacentral:rRNA from 1 species
GGAAUAUUGGACAAUGGGCGGGAGCCUGAUCCAGCCAUGCCGCGUGCAGGAAGACGGUCCUAUGGAUUGUAAACUGCUUUUGUACGGGAAGAACAGGGGGUACGUGUACCCCUCUGACGGUACCGUCAGCAUAAGGAUCGGCUAACUCCGUUCCAGCAGCCGCGGUAAUACGGAGGAUCGGAGCGUUAUCCGGAAUCAUUGGGUUUAAAGGGUCCGUAGGCGGGCCGUUAAGUCAGGGGUGAAAGUCUGCGGCUCAACCGUAGAAUUGCCCUUGAUACUGGUGGCCUUGAGUUAUGGUGAAGUAGCUAGAAUAUGUAGUGUAGCGGUGAAAUGCAUAGAUAUUACAUAGAAUACCGAUUGCGAAGGCAGGCUACUAACCAUAUACUGACGCUGAUGGACGAAAGCGUGGGGAGCGA